rnacentral:rRNA from 1 species
UAGGGGGCUAGCGUUGUCCGGAUUUAUUGGGCGUAAAGAGCGUGUAGGCGGCCAGGUAGGUCUGCUGUGAAAACUCGAGGCUCAACCUCGAGACGUCGGCGGAAACCAUCUGGCUAGAGUCCGGAAGAGGAGAGUGGAAUUCCUGGUGUAGCGGUGAAAUGCGCAGAUAUCAGGAGGAACAUCAGUGGCGAAAGCGGCUUCCUGGACCAGAACUGACGAUCAGGCACGAAAGCGUGGGGAGCAAACAGG